GCUACCUCGAUGUUGAAUUAAGAAAAGAUCUAAUAGAAAAAAAUUAGAUUAUAGGUCUGUUCGACCUUUAAAUUCUUACAUGAUUUGAGUUAAGACCGGUGUAAGCCAGGUUGGUUUCUAUCUUCAUAAUAGAAGUUUUUAUAGUACGAAAGGACCUAAAAACUUAAUUUUAUUAAUUAAUUAGCUUAUACAAAGCAAGUAUUUUGAAAAUACUAGAAAGAUUUAAAAAUUUAUUAAUUUUAUGU
rnacentral:misc_RNA from 1 species